UACAGAGGGGGCAAGCGUUAUUCGGAAUUAUUGGGCGUAAAGGGCGCGUAGGCGGAUGGUACAGUCAGACGUGAAAUUCCUGGGCUCAACCUGGGGGCUGCGUUUGAUACGUGCUGUCUGGAGUUCGGAAGAGGGUCGUGGAAUUCCCAGUGUAGAGGUGAAAUUCGUAGAUAUUGGGAAGAACACCGGUGGCGAAGGCGGCGACCUGGUCCGAUACUGACGCUGAGGCGCGAAAGCGUGGGGAGCAAACAGG
rnacentral:rRNA from 1 species